UAGAGUGCGGUGAUGAGCCUAUUUUGUGGACUAGAGUUUCUGAUUUGGGUCUUUUUGCCCAGAAUCUGAUUAACAAACCCUUGGCUGUCUGAGCACUAAU